AUGCAAGAAAGGAGCCACAGCACAAACCACCAAGUCAACAAAAUGAGAUUCUGCCUUUUGCCAAUGAAUAUCUGUCUUCCUGUCUUGGUCAGGGUUCCUGAGGCCCAGCAUCCUCCUCCCCAACUGGACGAGGUGACCAGAGGUCUUGGAUGCAGUAAGUGGGGUCGUACAGCUCUCAAGGUGCGACACCACCUCCUCACGGUGUGUUUGCCCAGGGCCUCAUCUGUGAAAAUGAACUCUGCAUUCUGUCAAGUGAGUGGAAACAACCUGGAGAAACAAGUCUUCAACAUGUCAGGAAAUGUGCCAACACGUGCAAGUCUUACCACACCUUAUUCUGUUCAAGUUUCCCCAUAUGGAGGGAGGAAUAUUUAUUGGAGUCUCCAUGCUCGUAUCCUUCAGGUGUUGAACACAAUACUGCACCAAGGCUGUGCUCUCUUCUUCAUGGAUCCAUAG
ensembl:lncRNA